rnacentral:misc_RNA from 1 species
CACACCAAAUGCUAGCUAGAUUAUCCACACUCCUAUAGUUCACUUGCACUGCCUUGUCAAAAAUUACUCUAGCAUUGACAAGAUCAUUGUGAUUCUCAUACAACUUAGCAAAAGCAACCCACAAAGUGUGGGGCUUUCCUAAUGCUUUCAUUGGAUCAACUGUUCUUACUGCCUCAGUGUAAGUUAGUAUCUGUUUAGUUGGAUUACCCUCAAAAAGCUUAACCCUCCUGUGCCAUUGUUCCACAUUAUGCGGAUUUUGUCGCAGAAGUACACUAUUGGCCAAUUCUGGCCUUCUAUCCAUAAGAUAUUCCAACUGGGCCAGCAUCAAAUCCACAUUAUUAUCAUCAUGUAACCAAAACCCACUAAGUAUCUUCUUCUCAAACUUAGAAUUCACUUCCAAUCGAACAUCAUCAUCCUGCGAGGCACCAUUCUCCUCCAACACAUCCUCUUCCUCAUCACUCAAAUCCAAAUUCUCCAUCUUAUGAGCAACCAUACUUUCUUCGAACUGUGAAUAUGCAUCAAAUAUAACACUAAAAUCUCUCACUGUUACCACUGUAGUCAUACCCUCCUCAAAAAUAUCCCUCGCCUUCUCAAACAAACCCCUCCUGAUAUA